GAUGAACGCUGGCGGCGUGCCUAAUACAUGCAAGUCGAGCGAACAGACGAGGAGCUUGCUCCUCUGACGUUAGCGGCGGACGGGUGAGUAACACGUGGAUAACCUACCUAUAAGACUGGGAUAACUUCGGGAAACCGGAGCUAAUACCGGAUAAUAUAUUGAACCGCAUGGGUCAAUAGUGAAAGACGGUUUUGCUGUCACUUAUAGAUGGAUCCGCGCCGCAUUAGCUAGUUGGUAAGGUAACGGCUUACCAAGGCAACGAUGCGUAGCCGACCUGGGAGGGUGAUCGGCCACACUGGAACUGAGACACGGUCCAGACUCCUACGGGAGGCAGCAGUAGGGAAUCUUCCGCAAUGGGCGAAAGCUUGACGGAGCAACGCCGCGUGAGUGAUGAAGGUCUUCGGAUCGUAAAACUCUGUUAUUAGGGAAGAACAAAUGUGUAAGUAACUAUGCACGUCUUGACGGUACCUAAUCAGAAAGCCACGGCUAACUACGUG
rnacentral:rRNA from 1 species